UACGUAGGGCGCAAGCGUUGUUCGGAAUUAUUGGGCGUAAAGCGUGCGCAGGCGGUUGUGCAAGUCAGAUGUGAAAUCCCCGGGCUUAACCUGGGAAUUGCAUUUGUGACUGCACGGCUAGAGUGUGGUAGAGGGGGAUGGAAUUCCGCGUGUAGCAGUGAAAUGCGUAGAUAUGCGGAGGAACACCGAUGGCGAAGGCAGGCCCCUGGGCCUGCACUGACACUCAUGCACGAAAGCGUGGGGAGCAAACAGG
rnacentral:rRNA from 1 species